rnacentral:rRNA from 1 species
GACAGAGGGUGCAAACGUUUGUUCGGAAUUAUUGGGCGUAAAGGGUGCGUAGGCGGUUUGGUAAGUCUGAUGUGAAAUCUAUGGGCUCAACUCAUAGUCUGCAUCGGAAACUGCCGGGCUUGAGUGUGGGAGAGGUGAGUGGAAUUCCUGGUGUAGCGGUGAAAUGCGUAGAUAUCAGGAGGAACACCUGUGGCGAAGGCGGCCUUCUGGCUCGCAACUGACGCUGUAGCGCGAAAGCGUGGGGAGCGAACGGG